rnacentral:tRNA from 1 species
AAAGGGAGACCUAAUUCAGGUAGGAGACGAAAAAAAAGUAGUCCCUACCAAGAAUCAAUCCCAAAAGGUCGGAGCGAGGCAAAAUUGGCUUUCAAACUAGGUUCUGGGUUCACACAAGACCUGAAUCAGGAACAAGGGCUAUUAGCUCAGGUGGUUAGAGCGCACCCCUGAUAAGGGUGAGGUCCCUGGUUCGAGUCCAGGAUGGCCCACCUGUACAGGUGGCAAAAACAAAGAAAAGAAGCUCCGAAUCAGCACCUUAUCUUACUUAUAUAGUAAGAGAGAAUGCUGGCUCUGAGUAAAGAGUCCAGAGGAACCUUGAAAACUGCAUAGAGCUAGGUGAAAAAGUCAAAAAAGAAGACCGCAAG